CAGUCGCCACGGUAAUACGAAGGGUGCAAGCGUUAAUCGGAAUUACUGGGCGUAAAGCGUGCGUAGGCGGUGAGUUAAGUCUGCUGUGAAAUCCCCGGGCUCAACCUGGGAAUGGCAGUGGAUACUGGCUCGCUAGAGUGUGUCAGAGGAUGGUGGAAUUCCCGGUGUAGCGGUAAAAUGCGUAGAGAUCGGGAGGAACAUCAGUGGCGAAGGCGGCCAUCUGGGACAACACUGACGCUGAGGCACGAAAGCGUGGGGAGCAAACAGGAUUAGAUACCCGAGUAGUCCCUGUCUCUUAUAC
rnacentral:rRNA from 1 species